rnacentral:misc_RNA from 1 species
UGGCGCCGCUGGUUUUUACUGAGUAGUCUGGCUUGCCGGGAGUCUCAGACUUCCGUCGCCUUCGGGCGGCGGGGGUGCGUAAAUGCAUUUUCCAGCGUAAAAAAAAAAAAAAAAAAAAAAAAAAAAAAAAAAAAAAAAAAAAAAAAAAAAAAAAAAAAGGUUAGGUUAGGUUUCGGUUAGGUUAGGUUAGGUUAGGUUAGGUU